rnacentral:misc_RNA from 1 species
GUGAAUCAUCGAAUUUUUGAACGCAAAUUGCACUCUCUUCGAAGAGUAUGCCUGUUUCAGUGUCAGCCUCUUAAAAACGACAAAGCUGCUGUUUGGCGUUGGCGUUCGUCGGAAAUUGGGUCAUCUUAAAUCCCUUUCAUUUAAGCGACUUAAAAUUUUCUUUUGGUUCCAUGAACGUUUCUAAGAUCUAUUUCUUUACACGUUUAAGGUAUUGAUUUUUACUAGCCGUGACCAUCAUAUCGGUUCGCUACCAUAAUCUU